rnacentral:rRNA from 1 species
CACUCCUGCGGGAGGCAGCAGUGGGGAAUAUUGCACAAUGGGCGCAAGCCUGAUGCAGCCAUGCCGCGUGUAUGAAGAAGGCCUUCGGGUUGUAAAGUACUUUCAGCGGGGAGGAAGGCAAUACGGUUAAUAACCGUGUUGAUUGACGUUACCCGCAGAAGAAGCACCGGCUAACUCCGUGCCAGCAGCCGCGGUAAUACGGAGGGUGCAAGCGUUAAUCGGAAUUACUGGGCGUAAAGCGCACGCAGGCGGUCUGUCAAGUCGGAUGUGAAAUCCCCGGGCUCAACCUGGGAACUGCAUUCGAAACUGGCAGGCUUGAGUCUUGUAGAGGGGGGUAGAAUUCCAGGUGUAGCGGUGAAAUGCGUAGAGAUCUGGAGGAAUACCGGUGGCGAAGGCGGCCCCCUGGACAAAGACUGACGCUCAGGUGCGAAAGCGUGGGGAGCAAACAGGAUUAGAAACCCCGGUAGUCCC